GACUCCCAGUCGAAGAGGCGACUUUAAUUCAAAUCCGGAACAGUUGCCGAGUCGACUCCAGAAAAGCAUGAGUCGACUCCCGCUACAGCCGAGUCAACUCCUGCUACAGCCGAGUCGACUCCUGAUCGCGCGAGUCGACUCCAACCCACCAACGGACAUAUUGUCAGGCUGUGCAGAGUGUGCAGAACGGGCAGAAAAAGGUCUCUAACGGCUAGUUUCCGUGGAGGAUGGCUUAAAUAGCCACAGAAGACUGUAGCAAGGCAGAGAACAACCAUUCCACUCAAAGUAAUCAAGCUUUCAAUCUCUGCAACCUGGUUUUCAACGGAAAAGAGGGAAGAGCAACAUUAACUGCAUCCACCUACUUCUUCCCAACAUUGAAAGAGAUCUCCUCCUGCAUUCAAGUCGACC
rnacentral:lncRNA from 1 species